rnacentral:tRNA from 1 species
GCACAGGUAGCAUAAUGGAAAAUGCACCGCUGGGUUUAAAUAAAUUCAGGGGAGAUGAUGCAGGUUCGAAUCCUGCCUUGUGCA